rnacentral:lncRNA from 7 species
GUAACCCUGGAAAAUCACACAUUUAAUGCAAACAUCAAGCAUUUUCUCUUAGAGAUGCCGCGAUUUAACUGAAAAUCACACAUUUUCCCUUCAACAAUCCCCCAUUUAACUCGAAAAUCACACUUUUGCUCUUCAAAAACCCCC